AAAGACCAACUGCUACAGAGGUUAAAAGCCUUUCUCUUGCAGCAAAGAGCUACCCUGCAGACCUUCAAUUCCACGUGUUGUCCAAUCCAAACACGUUACAGGAGAAUCAGUUGAAACUCAAGCCACAGGAAAGCAAAGACAGGCCAAAAGAUUGCAGCAAGCCAGUGGUUCAGCUCAGGACUGUGGCACAGGAGAGAGGCAUUUCCUCUGUCUUCCAUUGACUCGGAUAUGCUGGGAGAAGCUCUUAUGAGAAAAUAAGUAUUUGCUAUUGCAGGAUGUAACAGUUUCCUACCAGAUGAACUCACCUGAAAGACUGCAGGGUUUGAGUAAAAAACUAUUAAAAGCUCUGCAAAGCAGAGUAAGAAAAGGAGUUAUCUCAGUGAGUGCCCUGAGGCAAACAACUGCUGCCUUGGUGAAAGAAACCCACACUACCAUAGUAAGAGCUUCCCUCUUGAAUCAAAAUACAUCUUGUAAAAGCAUCUCACACCUGGACAAACCUAUUAAACAAUUAUUAAAUAAGAAGUAGAGUAUUUAAAAUGGAUGUCACUAGAAUAUAGCAAAAUAGUGAGGACAAAUCAUGAAAUAAUAAUCUACGUUAAUAAGGCUGAAGAUUCUCUAUGAAGAAAUCAUGUGUAUAAUUUACAAGGAAUAGAAAACUAGAGCUAUUAUUUCUCUAAUGCUGCAUGCAAAAAAUACACAUAAAUGUAUGUUCAAAUUCACACAUAGACACAUACAUGAUCCUGAACUCUUUCAUCCUCCAGGGCAUUUUAAUUUUACCUGCACACUUUAGUUAUUCUUUUUGAAAGGUAAAGACAAAAUGGUUGCUUCCUAUUCAAUUAUCCUUUCUCAGCCUCUAUUUGACACAGGUCCUUCUAUUGCAUGGUGGCUAUGAAAAACAGUCCAUGAAAAUAUUACCAUUUAUAUAGCUACUUGCAUUAUAACACCUUUCAAUAAUUACCUACAAUUUUCA